GACGAACGCUGGCGGCGUGCUUAACACAUGCAAGUCGAACGGAAAGGCCCUGCUUUUGUGGGGUGCUCGAGUGGCGAACGGGUGAGCAACACGUGAGUAACCUGCCCUUGACUUUGGGAUAACUUCAGGAAACUGGGGCUAAUACCGGAUAGGAGCUCCUGCUGCAUGGUGGGGGUUGGAAAGUUUCGGCGGUUGGGGAUGGACUCGCGGCUUAUCAGCUUGUUGGUGGGGUAGUGGCUUACCAAGGCUUUGACGGGUAGCCGGCCUGAGAGGGUGACCGGCCACAUUGGGACUGAGAUACGGCCCAGACUCCUACGGGAGGCAGCAGUGGGGAAUAUUGCACAAUGGGCGGAAGCCUGAUGCAGCAACGCCGCGUGCGGGAUGACGGCCUUCGGGUUGUAAACCGCUUUCGCCUGUGACGAAGCGUGAGUGACGGUAAUGGGUAAAGAAGCACCGGCUAACUACGUG
rnacentral:rRNA from 1 species